CGUUCACUUUACAAAGAUAUUUUAAUUUUUUAAAACAAAUUAAUCACCCUGUCAAAAUCCUUUGUGUUACGGCAUUGAAAUUCGAACAAUACGUUAUUUCAAUGAUUUUGGGUUUUUUUGAGACACCCUGUACAUUGAACUUAUCUAAAGCCACGUGACCACAAAUAAGCCAAUCACGUUUGGUGUUCACCCUGCAGCUAUACAACAACAAAGUCUUAUCAAUCUUCUAGACAACAUAAUGGGAAAUGAAUUACAGCAUAUAAUAAUUUAAGGCAAUAUCUUAAUUGAUAUCAAUGUCAGUAUAGACAUUUUGUCUAUAUCAAUACUUCAGAUUACAAGAUAACGGCUUUCGGCUUGCAGUGUAAUUAAUUUUCUCCCCUCAAGACUAAUAAACACUCUUGGGAGAUAAAUGCGUAUGUGCGCAUGUGCUUGUCGACAGAAAUGUUAAACGUGCCGCGCACUUUGAAAAAGUGAAGGCUGUUUUUCAGACAAAAUAUAAUAUGUUCAUUAUAGGAAACAAUUAAAAAGUUAAUAAACAAAAUGUAAAUUACGAUAUUUUGAGAACUACGGGCAACAGAAAGGCCG
rnacentral:lncRNA from 1 species